CUCAACUUCGGGAUUGCCAUUGAAACUGUUUCACUUGAGUGUAGUCGAGGAUGGCGGAAUGAGUUGUGUAGCGGUGAAAUGCAUAGAUAUAACUCAGAACACCUAUUGUGAAGGCAGCUGUCUAGGCUACAACUGACGCUGAGGCACGAAAGCGUGGGGAGCGAACAGGAUUAGAUACCCUGGUAGUCCACGCUGUAAACGAUGAUCACUCGUUGUUGGCUACUUGGUAGUCAGUGACUAAGGGAAACCGUUAAGUGAUCCACCUGGGGAGUACGUCGGCAACGAUGAAACUCAAAGGAAUUGACGGGGGCCCGCACAAGCGGAGGAACAUGUGGUUUAAUUCGAUGAUACGCGAGGAACCUUACCUGGGCUUAAAUGCAGGCUGCAUUUCCGUGAAAGCGGAAUUUCCUUCGGGACCG
rnacentral:rRNA from 1 species